UAGGGAAUCUUCGGCAAUGGACGAAAGUCUGACCGAGCAACGCCGCGUGAGUGAAGAAGGUUUUCGGAUCGUAAAACUCUGUUGUUAGAGAAGAACAAGAACGUUAGUAACUGAACGUCCCCUGACGGUAUCUAACCAGAAAGCCACGGCUAACUACGUGCCAGCAGCCGCGGUAAUACGUAGGUGGCAAGCGUUGUCCGGAUUUAUUGGGCGUAAAGCGAGCGCAGGCGGUUUCUUAAGUCUGAUGUGAAAGCCCCCGGCUCAACCGGGGAGGGUCAUUGGAAACUGGGAGACUUGAGUGCAGAAGAGGAGAGUGGAAUUCCAUGUGUAGCGGUGAAAUGCGUAGAUAUAUGGAGGAACACCAGUGGCGAAGUCGGCUCUCUGGUCUGUAACUGACGCUGAGGCUCGAAAGCGUGGGGAGCAAACAGG
rnacentral:rRNA from 1 species